rnacentral:tRNA from 1 species
GCCUUCGUGGUGUAGUGGUCAGCACACUUCGACUCAUAACCGAGAGGUCCAUGGUUCGAUUCCCUUCGAAGGCG